AGUGGCGCACGGGUGCGUAACACGUAACUAACCUACCUAUAACUGGGGGGAUAGCCCGCCGAAAGGCGGAUUAAUACCGCAUAAGCUCUGUAGCUGGCAUCAGCUGCUUAGUAAAGAUUUAUUGGUUAUAGAUGGGGUUGCGGGUCAUUAGCUAGUUGGUUGGGUAACGGCUGACCAAGGCGACGAUGACUAGGGGAGCUGAGAGGCUGGUCCCCCACACGGGCACUGAGAUACGGGCCCGACUCC
rnacentral:rRNA from 1 species